ensembl:lncRNA
CAGUCGCAGCCUCGAUCCUUCCCAUUUACUCUCAUUUCAAGCGAAACGAUCUUUGUCAAAUGCUCUCAGCGCUCCUCCUUCCUUCCGUCUCCCACAACAUUUAUCCCUCCCAAGACCUCCCCCUUCUCUCUCUCUCCAUCUCUCACUAAAUAUGACCAUCUUUGUCAAACUGUCAGCGGCCGUCCUCCUCCAUCUAUUAAAUGAAGCCUUUUGUUUCAUUAACCUUGUAUCCCUCCUCUCCUUUCUCCCUCUCGCCCUCGCAUUGCCAUCUGAAACCAGAUGGAUGUCAGACAGUUGUUACCAGUCUGCCACAGGAGAGAACACUUUCUGCACGUUUCUCUUCUUCCCCUCGCCGUUCUUGCCUCCCUCCCGCUUUUGCUGCAUUUACAUCUGGCGGUGCAGAGGUGGAAGCGUUCUUUAAAGAGAGGAGUGAGUAUCUUCAGAGACCCCCUCUGGGCUAUAACUCUCUCUCCGUCUGACCCACUGCCUUCAAGGUUCGUUAUUUUUUUUCUCUGCUUGCGAUCAUGUGGUGUUUUCUCUCCUAGCUUUUACAAUGACAUUGUUUUUGUCCCACUUUUGACAUUCUUCAUUUAGUUCCCUCAUCCGUAUAUAUCCAGGCAUUUCAAAAAGGCACGAUAUAAUAAUUAGAUACGAGCCGGAAUAGUCAAUAAAAAUAGAUAUAGAGAUAUAACUCCAUUUAAAGAGUUUUAUUUUCUCGUGUUGAGGCGACGGUUCAUAAUUCACACCAUGAAUAUUAACGCAUCAACACCCUCCUCCCUUAACAUUUUUUAUUUCAUAACAAUCUUCACGAUUCGAAUGUGGACAUUAUUGUCUUUCAGAGUUACGGAUGAAGUCCACUUGACAUUCUGAAUAUUUUUGCUUUACUUUUUUUAGGCACAUUUUUCCUCACUGGGAUUAAAUACUGGUUAAAUAAUAGUUUAAACCAAUCUUUUGUAUUCACCAGCAAUUAAUACACAGUUUUAAAAGGGUACCUCUUCCCGUUGUGUCUGUAAAGCCCCAUAGUUCAGUCACAUUGACCCAAGACACAAAUGAGGGUUUUAUUUGGACAAUCAAUGAAUGGAAAACCAUUUAGAUAUUAAGCUACACUAAGCAUGCUGACUAUUACAAAGAAGGAAAAGGAGAAACAUUUGCAGCAGGUCGAUCUCAACUGCUAACAAGUGACACAUGCAGUCAGGGUGAUGUGUACAGCAGUAGACUAGUUAAAGUGACACACUGCUGUACACAUCCAGCAGUGUGUCACUUUAACUAGUCUACACCCGAGUUGGAAACACAAAAUGUUUUUUCAAAAGCACGCCUCCGCCUCAGGAAAGACGUGUCGCCUAAUGAGGCUUUCACACGUCUCCGUCACACACACUUGGACAAGGUUUCGUACAUAACGUGCUGUUAUUCCUGCAGCGGGAUCCUGCCCUGCUCUACAUGCACAUUGCAGUCUUCGGGUUUGGAUCUUUCUCACCCAAACCCCAUCUUCAUGGUGUGGGCCGGGCCAAACCAUCUCGGCCUAUUGCCCCUUUGUCCUCUCUGUUUUCAUUGCAUUACAGUGUGACACAGACCCAUGGCCAUUACAUUAGAAUGGGCCUCGGGAACAGGAUCUGAGAUAAAGCAUCUGCUGUAGUGAUGUCAGAUGACAGUUAUGAAGCAGAUCAUGAGGCUUACAGUCUGAACUCUCUGGCGCCGCUUUGCUCUCUUAACCUCUGACAUCCUAAAAGCCAAAUCCUUUCCACUGUUUUAGUAUUACUUCUUCGGUCGCUGUUGUGACUUAACAGAUAUUUGCUCAGGCCCCAUUCAGAUGGUAUUUCAAGAUAACCGCUAUUCCCUUGAACAACUAAAAAGGGCCAGAUAAUGUGCUGUCUUUAGCCAAAACAGUUACUUAUUUAUGACAUUCUGCCUCGGCUUUACCUGCUUCCUCUUCCACUUUGUCCUCAUUCAACUGCACUUUUACAAAAGAAAUGAAUCUUUAAUUAUAUAUCAGAGACUUUCUCUCCUCCGUUAGAUUUCUGCUGUGAUGCAUGAAGAUAAUGUAUUCCAUUGAAUGUUCACUCUGGCCGGCGAACAAAUUCUCCAAAUAAACAGGCGGGUUGACCCGUCGUCAGCGGGUUCGCCGGUCACUGUGCUCUUAGUUAAAUUCUCUGUCUCUCCGUGAUCUUUCAGCCUUCAUCUUCUUAACCCGAUCCCCUUGCUCGCUAAGAAUAGCCGUGGCUUAAAGAGAACAGGCAGGGAAACAGAGAAGAAGGGCGGUAUUGGGAGGCUGCUGGCUGGAUUCUCAUUGGAUUUCAUGCCGUGUGCAGUUCAGUGGCUCCUAUGACUCCUUUCAGCCCACUGAUUUAUAGUAGUUCCCCUGCCGGUGUAACCUUUUAAUUUUCUGCCUUUUUAUUUUUAGUUUGUUUGUGCAAGGGCAUGUUUUAAAGCGCUAGCGUCUCGUCAUCCCUCAUUCGGUUCAGACCUUCAACGAGGCGUGUACCGUUUUGCACGACCGAAAUCACUGCAUGUUUUGUCCAUCAGGUGGAUGGAGCUUGUUUUGUGCUUUAAAGACAGACUACCAACAGACAAACAAAUAAAUUCCAAUCCCAUCAAUAACAUCUGUUGAUUUUCUGACUCAUGGCGAACUGCCACACACGAGCUUCAUAACAAAACAGUGGGACACGGUCAUGUAAGGUGGUAAAAGUCUGUUAAUGCAGUGUUUCCCCUGCCCUUCUAUUGGGGGAAGGACUGAUGUCAGUCAGUCUGUCUCCACGCCCCCCCCGUCCCCCCGACCCUCCCGUCAUUCAUCUGUCCCUCUGUCGGUACGUCCGUCCUCAUCGCCCCUGCAAUGCUGUUAACUAAAGGGAAACCCUAAAAUAGCAUCUAGUAUUAGCAUGGAAGCGUAGCAACCGGCCCCCCACUGGUAAACGCUAUUAGCUCCGUCAGUCCUUUUGCUGUAGUUUCCCCCCUUUGACGCUUUUGCCAUCGUUAGCUGGUCGCCAGUGGCUCGCCGUCACCAUGUCGGGAGCCGUUGGGAUCAAUAGCAAUGAUCCCAACCUCGGAUCUUGCUUAGAGAACCUCAAUUUGUGUUGUUUGAUAAAUUGUAAAAAGUUUGUAAAGUGUUAAAAAGGUGAGACGUGUGCUUGGAACGCAAUUAGGUCAAUACAAUUUCUUAGAUAUAUUACAGAUGGAUAAUGCUGGUGGAUCCAUCUGUUCAUCGUCAUUUUAAGCCCAACCGCGGAUAUAUUUUUAAAUUGUCAACCACUAGUUUGAAAGGGUCAAAUAAACUGAACUCCCUGGUUACUGAAAACGUUAUUGAGACAGAUGUUCAGUUGGGUGGAGUUUCCUGAAUCAAGAUGUAGCCUACAGCCAUGAUUGUAAAAUGAAUCAAGGAAGAGCAAAAAAACAUCCACGCUGGGCUGACAUAGUGUUAUGACGGAUGACAUUAUCAAGUAAUGAUACGUAUGGCGUUUGGAUGUCUACAGAUAAGGAUUUAGGGAGCGGGGGUGUUGGAAAGACACAUGCUGAGUGUGUAAUUACCACUCACUGUUUGCAUUAACAUCUCAUCUAAUUUAAUUCCUCUCUCUGUAGUAGCUACUGUAUAUUUAGCUCUUUCCCAUUAUUCACUACUCGGGUGUUUCUUUCUCGUACACUCCGAUCUCCGCAUAAAUAAUGAUUUAUUUUUGAUUUGCCUGCUUCUGUUAAGGUUAUUCUUUGGUACUAUUUUUGCUUUUUUGUUUAGUAUUGUGAUCAUUUAUGUGCUCUGCGCUGCUGCUAAAGGCGCUGUUGUCAUCAAGAGAGUUAAGGAACUGCUGAAUUGGAAAAGUAUAGCUGGUGUCAAGGUCUGGAGGACGUAGAGGCACAUAGUUGGAAAGGCGAAUACACAAGAACGGCAAGGGGGACCGAGACCGAAUGUGAGCAUCUUAACCGUGAUGUUUCAUGUGAUACCACUCUUUCUUUCUCUCUCUCUCUCUCUCUCUCUCUCUUGACAAACUGAGAUAAGCUGCCCUGACUCUGCAUAAGAACAAAAUAUAAAACAACCCCAAAAAAAUCCACCAUUCUGAGGUCAGAUUUAUCUGGUGGAAAAUGAAAGGAGACACGACAGGAUGCAGGGAGAGGGCGAAACGGUGGAGGAGGGAAUAUGGAAAAAAUGUAUAAACUUUCUGCCUUUUAAUGCUCUCGCCGUAGUUAAUGCAGCACGGUGAGUUGUUUGCUGGUUCGCUGAUCAUCACUUUAAGCCGAGAGCACAUACUUGUUACCAUUUGGGCCUUUGACCGAAACCUUCAGAUGGCUGGUGAAACGUCUCCUCUUACAGGCAAAUCUAUGGAAUUUUUUUCAAUCUCUAUUAAGUAAAUCAUUAAAUUUUAAUUGUAUAUUGUAGGGAAAAGCAGUACUGACUGACUGUUUGCUUCCUAUUUGUUGUCAGUUAGUUUGGACCUGAAGUAUUUGUGAAUGAAUAUUUUUUACUUUGGGAAAGUGAGCGUAAUAAUAGCACUCUCAUGCUUGUUGUCCUUGCGUUCCACUCAUUGUAAAAGUUGACGAAAUCACACGUAACGUUAGCAGUCAGUUCUUCUUCUCCUGUUCCAUUCACUGGUAUCUAAUUCUUUCUUUUAGCAGCUUUUAUGCGCACCACUAGAUCACUUCAUCGUGAGCGUGACGCGGCUGUGGUAACAGGCGCUUUACAGCACGGCAGCUUCGGGUGAUGUGCGUGCAAAUGUAACUUGCCAUGAAGUCGAGCUAGUUGGGGUUUUGUGCGUGAACCUAUGACUGUGUGUAAUAGACAGUGUGUGAAAAAGCGUGUAAUAGGCUCACCUGUCCCCGCCUGCCGACUGAUGGGCAGGGGGAGAGAAGGGAAACCAGGUGGAAGGAGGGAGCCAUGGAGGAACCAAUGCACCGAGUAGAUAAGGCUGCAUUUUAUGUUCCGACUUCCACAUUGCUGAAUAAAUGAACACCAUUAUAGAAUGGGGUAUAAAAUAAAAGGGAGAGGUAUGUUGAUUGAAGAAAUAUUGCUUAUUGGAUGAGGCUGGGGAAGCGGGUGUGGAUCGAACCUUAGGAGUUCAUUACAUUUAGAUUUUUGUAAGCAGAGUAGUAUCUCUUUAGAAUCACCAAUUUGAACCAGUUAAAGUUUAUUACUGUGGCUUUUGAAUUAUGCUGAAAAUAUCAGCAGAGAUGAUCUUUCUCAAUGGGGACACAACGUAAAGCAUCUAUAAAAAUUGGAAAUGGUUGCCGUAACAACAGCCGUUGGUUUGUAAGGGCCUCAGUUUCACAUUUGGGCGGUCAGCAUCUUUUGCAACCAUAAGUGACAUGAGCGGGCGACUAAAACCGAGCCUUCUAUAAGACUAUAAAAAUAUCAUUACUAAAACCAUGAACAUUCAAUGAAGGAGUUGAAAGUCAAAAACACAGACGUCUCCCAUAUUGGAAAAAGCCGUGGUAGCAACCUGCCAAUCACAAGUUAGCCACGCCCUCAGGCCAACCCGGCUUUAUGGUCCCACUUAGUCUAAAUGGGGCCGUCAUUAACUAAGUAAACCACUGAAUGAGACGUCAUGUUCACAAUGUUUAUUGAGGUAAUAAAUCAAGUGAAAUGUGGUGUCAUUUUCUCUUCGGCUCCUAUGCAUUCAGACUUCUUUUUGCAACCAGAGGAGAAAACGAUGGACAUUAGUUUGAAUGCUUAAGGCGCUUCCACAUUGGCAUCCCUCUUUAAAAACAUAGGUCGCUGUCUGGUCGCAACAACCGGGGCAGAUAUCUAAAAAGAAAAGCAAUAGUCACUUUGGAAAAAUAAAACUCCUUUUUUGACUGUUUAAUCUUCUGCCCUGACUAACUGUUGUUUGUCUUUGACAGGGUGACGAGGAAGAUCACGCUGACGUUUCGUCUUGUCCAAGGUAAGAACACAAGACCGCCUGUAUCUCUUUGCUCCAUAAAAAAAAAACCCUGCUGUAACUCAAUAGUUUUUCAUCCUCUCAGUUUCUCUCUCGUUGUAUUCAGACCUCAUGUGCUGCUUUUAUCCGUGCUGAGUACUCUUCUCAGAAUUUAGGAGGGCAUGAAACCCAUUUUAUUUUCCGUGUUGAUAGACAUAACUCUACUUCCCCUGCUAAAACAUUAAAGCGGUGAAUUUGUACAAUAUUGUAGGCUUGUUUUGCCAUCACAUGAAAGGGGACUCCCUCUGCCAAAUCAAUAAUGGUAGCCAUAUGUGUGAGAAGCCUCAAUGCCGUGCAAGCUGUUGUGAAUAUUUGGGAACAAGGCAGGCAGUGUAUGAAAUCACAUUUCUGUCCUUUUGAAUCAGAACUGAGAUUCUCAAUACUCAGGUGAUGCGUUUGAAUUUAAGAAUACUGUUGGAAAAUUCACAUGCUGCCAACCCUGCCGGCCGACCUGAACCCCCCCCGACGAGAACCUGUGGCCCACCAGUAUGGUGGUCUGCUUCUCUGUCAGUAGCACGUCUCCGGCCAUAUCUGGUUGCCGUGGUGACAUGCCCAUGUCAGCAGCAGUGUGUGUGUGUGUGUGUGUGUGUGUGUGUGGCGGGCGAUGAAAGGACUCUGUGGAGGCGGAUAGAAUUCCUCUGUCCAGAAACGCCAGCGGGACGCACACAUGUCGGCGCUCGUGGAGGGGAAACCUCAGACAUGUGGGCACGCAGGAGACGCACGUGUCACAAAAGUGUACACAGCCACAACGGUACAGGACAUGGGCAGAUGCAGCAGACACACACGUAGAGCGAUAUCCAGAUUCCACGGAGGGCGCGGCCAUGCAUUCACGCUGACAGCUCAGGACUCUAGGGUUACAUACAGGGAAGUCCAUGCGUGCCGCAAUGCUUUGAACACUAAUGGUAUGUAUACACACUUUUAUUAACGCACACAGACCUGAAGCUACGGUUUAAUGCCUCCCACUAAAUAAAAUGUCUGCGUCCGGUCCUUAAAGGUCUUUCUUUUAAACAUGAAUGACGGAUGAUGUAUGCACGCAGAAUUAGCGAAUGCAAAUUGUUGCUGGCUCAGCAGCUGCACCGCGGGAAUCUGGGGUUAAGGGCCUUGCUUCUAGGGCAACUUUUAUUGCCGAUGAGGGAGGGAAGGGCAUUACUCAUUUGCUCCCCCCCAGCCAGAACAGACGUCCCCAACACGAGCUGGUUUGGGGAUCUAAAACGAGGACACACGCCUGCCGAAGCCUCGGGCUUCUACUGACAAACAGGUGUAAUGCACAGUUUUUUUUCCUCUAGAAUUUAUUCUCCCCCGUCAGGACGUUGGCCUCGCAGCAAGCAAAGCGUAUGUCAUACCGCUUAAGCAGUAUAAACAAACUAAUGAGAUUCGGAAAAACGUUAAAUAAGAAAGAGGGAAGACUCAAGGGACUGAGACUCUGUAGAGUCUAUCAAAGAUUCAACAUUAUUCAUUUGUUUGCCUCGAGCACCUAAAAUAGUUUUUAUUGACUAUUCAGCCCUUUUGAUCCGACUCUUUUUUUAUUUGCGCAUCACUCUUGGAUGCAUCGUUUUAAAUGGAGAGUACAGAGUGAGCUAAAAUGUAGUUUACACUGCAUUCGCUCUUUGUGUCCGUGUGAGGCUUUCGGAGGUGGUGAAGGACGAGAACGAAGUGGUUCCGCCGCUCUGAACUCAAUGUUGUUUAACUCCCGAGGUCAAAUGAACUAAUUGAAAUGACAACAGAUCCCAGAUUUGAACCCCGAUCAGAUGGGUUCAGAGAAUCCUCCAUGAAGUGAUGCACCUGUAAGAUAACCCGGGACGAUGACAGCCUUUCUUUUAUCUUUCCUUGUCGCACUCUACCACUCGUCCUGCCGUCGGGCCUCUGUUGGCAUUCGUGUCGGCAAAUUGCUUAGUAGACACCACCAUGUCAUGUACACUUGCACAGCGUGUCUGCGUGUGGGGUCGUCAGUAAUGGGAGACUGUGUGUUUUUUGAUCCCUGGGGUUCGCCUUGUCGCCAGAAUCUCCUUAACACCCACACACCCCGUCUCUCUCCGCCUCUCCCACGGCACACACACACACACACACACACACACACACACACACACACACACAACCCUGACCACACUUGGCUAUUUAGGAUUAUAUCCCCACUGAUUUGUACCCUCUACAUGUGCCUGAUUUACUUUGCAAAGGCAGUUUGGGAUGGAUCGAUUUUCCUUUUUUUACAAUUAUGACAAGUUGUUUUUAAGCCUUUUCUGUAUAUUACACCUUAGAGACAGUUCAUGGUAAUGGAUUUAAUAUCACCCUAAAUGUCACUCAUGUUGUUAAACAGCAGGAUAUGUUUUUGUUCCUUUUUGAAUUAUCUCAUCUUUAAUUUAGCCCUUAACAGUUUAAUAGCCAUCGUCAGACUGAGGCAGCUGUUACUAGGAUUUUCUUUUUUUUUGACAUAACCCACUUUUGAAAAGUAAAUGAGAUAAUAGUGAAAGAAAACUACUUCAGCUCAGAGAGAUUUUUUUAAACAUGAAGUUAUUGCAGUACAACGCAUUUAAAAAAAAAGAUGAUUUAUGAGUGUGUGUGAAACAUUAUAGGUAUGUCGCUGAGAUCAAAAUCAAGGCCAUGGUUGUAGAUUGUAGGCGUGCGGUCAGAACAAGGAAUGCCGAAAAGUAGGAGGUCGGUAUGGAGCCGUCCGCCACGGCGGAUACUUAAGUCUGAAAGACUGAGGAUGAGAUCCUGAAAAUGUGAAGACACUCGUUUCUCAAUGUAUAACAAGACAUGCGUGUUGAAAUCCUGCAGGAGGAGAGCUACGUUAGCGCUUAGCAGCAGGUGAGCGGCAAGGUGCUACUUGGUCACAUAAAAGAGCCAACGGCUAAGAAACAGAGGUUGAAUUGUGAUGCGUCCAAGGUCUAUUUCCUAAACCUUUGGAAAAGCUAAAUAACAACCUCGUUAUUUGUUCAUUUCGUGAAUGAUUGAUAUGUUUGCAUUCAAAUAUAUGGAGUUUUUGAUCCUGUUUUGUACCUUUUGGUAUCAAGUUUGUUUGGGAGAAUUGUAGAAUUUCACUCAUAUUUAAAACAAUCACUACAUUUCUUAUAUUUGAAAUGCCGAGACACCACAAGCAUGUAGUGUGUUCCACAACCAGGACAGAAUGAGGACCACUGAUUACCAUGUCUGACCGAGCAUUGCUGACACGAGUGAGAGCAAAGCACAAUACAACCUCAGUGUUGUCUUGACUGUGCACACUGGGCAUCCUUUAGGCCGCUCUCGCAUAUUCCCGGGCGUUGUUGAGUCUACACGUUGCUAUGCACAUUGACAAGGCAAAUCUACAUACACGGCGCCGGUUGCCAUUCGCUGUGACCUAGAAUGGCUGACAAGGGGGAUAAGUCGAGGAAUUGUAUUAACCCAGCCGUGUCCCGAUCACGCUGACAAGACAUUAUUCUUUUUCCUGUUGCUGCUGUUAAGAGCAGAAUGUCUGCUCUGUCAGAUACAGAUGCUGACAAGCCGGCGUUCUGGCGUCUUAAGCGCCGCUGACCAGGGAAUAGGAACUAAGGAGUAGAAGUCAGGCCGGCUGUAUCGACGGCGCAUGUUGACAAAGCAGCAGAGAGCGUUGCGUUGGCCUUGUGUUUGACACGGGACUGGUGACAAGUCCUUGCUAUUCCACACCCGUGUGAGCACGGCGAGGUCACGCUGACCCAAGCCCGCUGGUCCGAGGGGACUGCACUUGAUUCUACUGUGUCUUUUCCUGCGAACAUUGUGAGUGUCCAGCAUGUGUGCGCAUUGAUUAGCCAAGAUGUGUGAGCUCGGCUCCUCGGGACGGCCCCGGUUGUUGCCGGAGGUCAAUGCGUGUGCGCUCUUAAGUGUGUGUUUGCGCUCGCGCGCGUGUGUGUGUAUUUGCCAGGCGGUGGGGGGUUAGGCCCGGAUUGCAAUGACAAUGGAGAGGAAUUUAAAUGAGAGAAAAGAGGGAGAUCAGGGACGUUUGCAAGGAGGAUGGAAGAGGCUUUGGCACCAUUGUUAUUCUUCCUCUUUGUUAUUCUGCCACUCUAUCUCUCUAUUACAAAUCCUCCACUCUGUGGCUCUCUCACUCGGCUAUGUUUGUCACUGAAAUCACUCUGUUAAUUUGAUCCCAACUUAUCCCUAUCUUGAUUUUUUCCCCCUCUAUGUCAACUCCCUGUUGGGAAAGGUUUUCUUUUUUUUUUCCUUCUACUUGCUCUCAAGAGUCACACGUGCUUCACGUCACGCCAAGUUGGGGAAUCUGGGGUUUUUGCCCCGGAUCCUUAUUUGGGUUGUAGAAACUGACCAGAUACUUAUCUUAUACUAAUCUAUGAUACAACUACGCUACUAACUACUGCGGCAUCCAGCUCGGUAGUUGCUGCUAAUGUAACGGCGGUGCUGUUUUAAAUCCUAAAGUAGCUUUGGAUUGUAAUCGUUCAGUGCCGAAAAUAUUAAUCAGCGCAGUGACAAGAAUCUGUCUUGUCAGGUUUGGUCAAAUUUUGUGUUCAUGGAGACAAUUUUUUUUUCUUCUUUUCAGGUAUAUUGUUUGUUAAACAUACAUGUCUAUAAACAUACAUCCAAGAAUGAAAAAAAUAUCAUUCAUUCACUUUUUUAUUUCUAAUGUAAGUAAGUCAGGUUCCGCCUUCUAUUUGUGUCUCAUAUUGAGGGCUGUCCUCCACCAAAGUCCUCCUCAGCCGGCUAACAGUUUGUUGACUAAUCAAUUAGCUGAUUUAAAUCGACAGAUCUGUGAACCUUGAGUAUCUCUUACAAUCACACAGAAGCUUCACUGGAAAUCUGUGAAACCACGUGUCCCUCUCCUUGACCACCAAGCACCAAACACGGAGUCGACUGAGAACUAAAAACAACCGAUUUGUUCCUCAAUCAGGAGGUUCCCCUAUAAUAUCCAGUGUGUCUUUCAAUGUUUUUUUAAUUUUUAUUUAGUGUCACUUGACUUCCUCCCGUCAGCAGUGACUCACCGUUCCUCUGUGGCUCUCUUUGUCUUGUCGCUCCCCCCAUCGCAGUGUUAUUACCUCUACAGUCUCUGGUCAGAUCUAGUGCAGUUGCUAAUAUAACCACUCUCAAAACAGGCUCAUUGAUUUUAAUCCCUCUCUCUCUUUCUCUCUGUUAUAGACACACACACACACACACACACACACACACACACACACACACACACACACACACAAACAGACUUUCUCUCUCAGUUUCUGUUUGCCUGCCCCUCUCUCUCUCUUUCUCUCUGUAGCAGCUCUAAUUGCGAUCAAUUAUGAAACUUCAGAAGGCUGAAAUAGGAGCUGCGACAAGGGGCAUCCGCUGAGCUGGCAGGGGGAGAGGGAAGGGGGGGAGAGGCAAGGGGGGGAGGAGGGGAAAACGGUGACAUAGGAGCGCAGAGUGGAUGGGAGGGGCAGCGGAGAGAAGUCCAAGUCGGUGUCGAGAGAUGAGCUAAUGGUAAUGGCUUGAUUGAUGUGGCCACAGCAGCUGAAAGUCACAUCGUUUUUCAUGCCAGGUAUUGAUUCCUGACAAGCCCUUGUUAGUUUUUGGAGCGCAGUCGCCAUGGCGAGGAGUUGUAUUCCCAUCUGCUAUGGUCACUCUGGUGCUUCGAACAAAAGCUCCAUACACAUAUUCUGAGCAUUGCAGCUGGAAUGAGAGUAAACCGAUUUCAAGAGACAAUUUGGUUGCAACAUAAUAACUUGUAAUGCUUUUAUAUAUUUAUUGAGUUUACACUAUUUAUUUUGUUUGUUUAAAUUCAUAGUUGUUUUAGUAUUGUAACCAAUAUCCUCAGUGAUAUCGGUUUCAAUACGGAUACUCUUUGCAUCCAUCACCUCAUUUCGGAGAAAAUAAAUACAUUGCAUAAACAAAUUUAUUCCUCAAUCCUGGAGGAGUGAAGUAAAAGUAAUGAAUGUGUUCUUAACUGUAUUCAGCAGAACAUAAAACUCGGGUAAACUUUUACCAUUUGUCUUCAACUCUAAAAGUUGUGCGGCUCCGCUACAAGGCGGCUUUGCCUCCCUGUUUUAAUUUGAUUCCCUCCACGCUUUGCGUACCUUUUCAACGUAAGCCAUUCGGAACUAGACUCCGAGUGAAGAUCAUGCAAACAGAAGCAACUUUAUCACUUCCAAUUCAUUUUUAAAUGUAUUACCGACUGACCCCCUAAACACAAUCUUCAGCUUUGCUUGAACAGCUCUUUAUAGAAAAACAAGGAACUUAUUUCAGUUUGAGUCAAGUACACCCCACCCCGGGGCAAAGAUUAUAAAUAACAUUAUUAUCUGGAAAUAUUCCUUCACGGAGGCUGGAGCGUGCUGGUUGCCUUAAGCUCUCUGAGGCACCCGCUGAAAAAUGUUUCCAACAUCGCAAUUCUACAAGAUUUAUGUUGUUCCAGCAAGAUCCGGGCUCGACUUGCAGAUAAAAUAAGCUUGUUGUAAAUAAAUCUAAUGGUAAUUUACCAACGGUUUCCUGUCAGAGAUUUGGAAAAAGCCUUGGGUUUCUUAAGGGUCUCUGUUUUUCAUACAUGUCCUGCAGGCUGAGAGCCUCUGGUCUCAUGUUUAGCUGCCUGUGCCUUGGGGCAUACAAACCCUUUUAUCUUGUCACCCUAAUGCACGUGUAUGUGUGCGAGGCGGAGGGAGAGGGAGCAUGUGAGGGAGAUUGAAGGAUCAAUACUAAGCCGUCAGGAGGUCUGCUACUCCCAGAGACACAGAGAGAGAGAGAGAGGGGGGGGGCACCCAGAAGAGAGUGGUGAACGAGAACGUAAUAGAGAAAGGGAAGAGGAAGAGGAAGAGACAAAGGGAAAGAGGGGGUGAGGUGGCUGGGAAGAAGGGCAGCCACAGGAAAUGUAUGGAGAUGGAAACGGAGAGCAGAUUUGGCUGGUGAUAAAUUAACCGAUGCAAGGGAGACGGGAAAAACAGAGAGGGUGAAGAUAUAAUGCAGGUGGAAAGAAAAUGAAGACAGGGAAAGAGGAGGUGAGGAAAAGGGAAGCUGCUGGUCUACAGGGAGCGCAGUACUUGUUACAGCUAAAGAGAGGGGGAACUUAACAUUAUAAUGGGAUGAGAAACAAGAUACACGUUACGUUUUGGCUCCCUCUCUGGGUUCUCCACAAGGGUAUGGAGACACAUUCAUGUAGAGCACACGGGGGGCUACCGGGCUCGCGUUGUUUUGCAUUGGAGGGCAGCAGUGGUACGGCGUGCGCUGUGACUUGUUCAUCACGUGUAUUCAAUUAGAAUUCAAAAUGAUUACGCUAUCAUAAAGUAGGGAGUUGGACUUAAAGGAGUAGUCGAGGGUUUGGCGAGAUGUGCCGCUAAUUAAAAGCUUGCACUUUAAAGAGGCCAAAACAUGCAAGAUGUACAAUAUAUUUCAAAUAUAACAAAACGGUCUCAAAAGUGACUGCUGGGCUCCGAGGAAGAGAGCUUCAACUUGUUAGAUUCAAGAGAGAAAUUGUCCCGUUGCCAAAAACUCACAAAUUUGAUCCUUCAAAAUGUGUCCAUCAAAAUGUCAGGUGUCCUGUUGAAGUGCCAGACAGCCAAUCGCUGUGCAGCGUGCAGGAUGCAAAUGCCCGCAUGUGUACUUCUUCGUAUUCCCUGCGCAUGCAGUAAUAGAGAAUGAAUAUCGGCUGUUCAGAGCAUGUUUUCUCCCAGCGAGCCUCACUGCGCCCCGAGUCCACACACUUUAACUUCUUUCGACUCCAGUGGGAUUCAAAGUUUGAUCUCUGGCCGUGUUUGUUUCAUGCAGAAGCUCCAGCACAAAAAAACAAAACUAAGAGUAUUUAUAACAUUGGUCUUGAUGCAUAAUUCAGUUGACAUAAACAUGAAAUGAGGGGGGCAAACGAAACUGUAUCCCACAAGAUCUAAAAGCCUUGCCUUGACACCCAUAAUGAAUAUUUAAACCUUGAUGACCCUACGCCGGUACGUCUGUGAAUGAUUUACACUUCUGCCUCACGGAUGGCUAUUUUUAUACCUUUUUGUCUUUUUUCUUUUUCAAAUUCCCGUAUCACAUCUUUUUAUCGUCUUCUCUUUCUUCUUCUGAGAAGACAGAUCGCAGUAAGACAGGAACCUGUCGGGUGCCGAAGAAACCCGUGCAAGUAAAAGAAAAGGGGGAAAGAACUAGAAAGAAAAGACCACAUCUUGUGAUCAUCUUUGACUUAUCUGUGAAUAUCAUCAGCUGUAAUCAUCUUUCCGCAAUAUAUUUCACCCCCCGAUGAUUAAGUUUCUUAAUGGGCCCUGGGAAUAGUAUUAUUUAAUGUAGGGGAAUAGGAUGGAGAAUAAUACCCCAUUAUUAAUAAAUGUAUUCCAGAUGAAGAAUUUCAAUUGUGAGUUUCCUUAUACUUGGGCCCAUAAUGACCCUGUAGGUUCCUUCAUAAAAGAAAUGACUCCGAGGCAUAACACCGUUUUUCACAGUGAAGCAAAGGGAUGGAACGAAACAUCUCUUCUCCCACUAAUGCUUCAUCUGGUUUGUAGCGUGAUCGGUAAAGGGUGAUAGGCUUUUUAUGCCUUGAAUACAGAAUUUACAGAAUGGUUUUCUCAUGCUGGUUGGCGAGUCACUGUGCAGGGGUCCAAACAGGUAAUGAUAAUUUCGUAUGAUGGGUGCAAAAAUUAUGAAAACCCACAUGUUUUAAGUUUGGGCAUAGCCCAUAUUUUCCUGAAAGGACAAUGCCAGGGUUGGUUUUGGGUGCUCUGCUUUAAAAAGUGCACAAUAAAUAAAGGUAAUCCUUUCAAUUGCGCAUUGAUUAAACCCUUAAAUGUCUGUGUGUCAAAUGCAGCACUUGUUAAAUUGUGUAUAUGUAUAUUAUAAACUAUGAGCCGUAUCUGAAACCGUAUCAAACGCAAAGAAAAUCUAAUUUUCUUUCUAAACAUUUUUUAUCGAAUCUUUUAGAUCCACAUUUCGCCAAUGUUUUACCUUUUUGGCUUAUUUUAAUGACUUAGCACAACAUUUGACAUAUCUGUUUUCCUUUGGUAAAUAAAGUAAAUUGAAUUUGAAAUCGUUAUAUAAAGAUUAAAUGAUAAAAUGAGAUGACACCGCUCAACGCUCACUUGUUUUAUUAUAUACCAGGAAAAAAAGGCUCAGAAAUGGAAUAAUAGCAGAUCACUGCAACCAGCCCUUCUCAUACCUAACAGCACUAUCAGUCUUACAUGCCUGUCUAGGAUUAGACACAUCUAGUUAUGAAGACCAACAGCCUCAUUUACAACAGAACAUGGCUCUGCAACCUGCAUCCAUCUCUCUGUUUGUCUCAAGGUUAGGGCUCACAGGGGAGGAGAGGCAUCAGGUUACACUAAUGCAUCAUGGCUGCUGGAGGACACACAUGCACAGGCCUCGUCAGCCACUGUCUCACCCCGUCUCGCCUUCUCUUUCCCCCCUUACACACAAACACACACGCCCUGGUGAGCUGAAACCCCCCCUUUAGUACAGGUCUAAGGGCACACUGUGGCCUUGCUCCAUCGUGCCCUUGUAACCUGCGAGCAGUCUGCCGUCGGUCCGCUGGGCAAAUCACUUGUCUCUAAAAAUAAACUGAAAGCAUCACUGAAGGCCUGGCUGAGGUUAGAGCGAGAAAGAGAGAGGAGAAGAACAGGACACCCAGGAGAGAGUGGAGAGGGAGAACGUAAUAGAGAGAGGGAAGAGGGUAAGAGAGAGAGAAAGAAUAUUAAGUAUUACUCUUCUUCAGUCUAUUUUAUACAUUUAGGACAAACUCCAACACUUUGAAGUAAUGUACAAAAGGGGCAGCAUCGCUCACCAAUCAAUUACCAGUUAAUCUUGACGGGAGGGGGAAGCAAAGAGCUGAUAUGGUAUUAUUGACACACCUACACUAUACAUGCUGAGGCUGCAUUACUCCUGUUUAUAAUGCGUUUGGCCCACUCUGGCCUCCUUUCCAGUGUUUGUCACAGUGUGCAGAGAUUGCUGUUGCUCAUUAAGUCCUCCAAAUUGCAGUUGUGUUCUCACUCAAGCAGAAUCUUAAUCUUCAUCUCUGCAUCCAUUUAGCUUCCUAUCCAUUAGUACGGAAAUGGUUGGUCAAUUAACGCAGUUAUUUUUCAGGUACUUUGUAUUUUCUGUAGUUGGUUGGAUCAACAUCCGCAGCGGAUUUCUUUUACUACUUUAAUAUAGCUUAAUGAUUUAUUAAUCAGAACUAAUUGGAACGUUCACAAAAUUUUCAUUACGCACUUUUUUUUAUUUUAUGUUCUGGCUGGGUCCCGUUCCAUGUCCCAGAAGUUGAAGGCAAAACAGCAGUGUUAAGUCCAUACAGCAUUGGUAACACACUUUAACACACCGUCAUCAGAUAAAAACCAAUGCGCAUUCACGCAGACGGAGAGAGAGGCCUCCUCUAGGGAUCAAAUGCCCGUCCACGGUGCCCUGUGAGCAACCAGCGAGUUAAAUAUCCGUCAGAACACCGACCAUUGACCUCUAAUAUUAAGAAAAGACUAGGGUUCAAAGGGGUCAUAUCCCCCCCCUGAAUGUCAUUCCCUUCUUUCCACACACAUGCACUUAUACACACACACACACCCCCACACACUCUCUCCCUGGUGCAGUGAGAGGGCCUUAUUGUGUAAGCCGGAGGAAAUGCAGAGACAUUGCAGAGGACAGGGCAUCCAUUGAUCCGACUAUAGACUCUUCUCCUACUCAGCCUCUCCUCUCGUCGCUGCCUUUUUUUUUUUCUAUCCCAACCCUUCGCUUUCUCUGCUCUUUGUGUUAUCAGCACUCCACUCUCCUAUAGUUUUUGUCUCCCUGUGAUCCACCACCCCCUCUUCCUCUAUAUUAUUGCUUUCACUCUCCAGGCCAUUUCUGCUCCCCUCUGUCUCUCUCUCUGCCUUCUCAUGCCAUGAUUUCUCCCUCUCCGCAUCUCUUUAUAAUCUCCAUCUAACCAAAAACUCCUCCUUCCUCCUUCCUAUUCACUUAUCUUCUCUUCAACUUCCCUUCCAUCUCUUAAAUGACUUACAUUUGUCCCUCUGUCUCCAACUAGUCAUGCAACUUUGGAGCAGAAACUUAGUUGGAAACAGAAAGUGGAUCAUGGGGACGAGAAGGAUCAUGAUAACAAGUGAGCAAAGGAAGCUUGUGUGAGAAAGUGAAAAUAAUGAAGGGAUGACAAGCAACUGAAGGGUGUGAGGAUGGAAGAAAGAAAGGAAAGGAGGAAGGAAAUCAGCUUGACCACAGGUAGUAUAUGUUAAAUGGUGUUGGAGCAGUGCCAUUAAAAACAGGCACAGAGCUGAACAGGAAGAAGUGAUUUAGUGAACACACACUCACUCAGUCACACACAGCGUGACUUCAUAGGAACCAUGAGGUGGCUAGUAGGAACCAUGAGGUGGCUAGUAGGAACCUUAAGGUGGCUAUUAGGAACCUUAAGGUGGCUAUUAGGAACCUUAAGGUGGCUAUUAGGAACCUUAAGGUGGGUAGUAGAAACACUGAGGUGGCUAGGAGGAACCUUAAGGUGGCUAGUAGGAACACUGAUGUGGCUAGUAGGAACCCUGAGGUGGCUAGGAGGAACACUGAGGUGGCUAGUAAACCCUCCUGCUUUGUACAUCCCUUCUCAUCUCUCUGACUUUUUGCCUCCUCUCUGUCCUUACCUCCCUCGCCGCUUGCAUGAUUCCUUCUUCACCUCCACCUUCUCCCACCCUGUCUCCAUCUCUGCUUCUGGCACUCCCCCCCUCCUCCCUCCUUCCUCUUUGCCCUGCUCCCUUCCUGCUGGACAGGCUUUUAUUUGAGCCAUGUGGACCUCCCUAAUGACAUGUGGACCUUGGUGUGUGUGUGUGUGUGUGUGUUUCUCUGCGAGAGUUGUAGGUGCUGACAUGUGCAUGCGUGCAUGUGCACGUGUGCUUGAUGUGCUGACGCACGUGUGUGUAUGUGCGAUGGAGGUGCUGACAUGUCUGAUCGUCGUGUAGUUCUCCCACUGAAGUUCUGCCGACGGCCUCUUACCUUUGAACAGGCCAGUGAAGGGGAGGGGGGGGGUAAGAAAAAAUACCGGAGCACUAUGCCAGAAAUGUGAAGAGAAGCAGAGGGAAGGAGGGAGGACAAAGUGAGAGAAGAGAAGGGGUGGUAAGUGGGACAUUGUUACAGUAAUUAACACAGAUGAGAGAAUGGGAAGAAGGGAGAACACAAUCGGGUGGUUCUCGCGGCGCACACAGGGUGCCGGAGAUCACGCGUGUCCCUGAUCAGAGGGACUCCGGGAGACGAGGGUGGGUGGGGGGGUGGGUUUGUUGGUUGGUGUCGUGGUGGUGGCACCGUGAAAUGAGCCUUGUUGGAAGAUGACGGGUCUUACAGGGCCCCCGUCUAGAGCUUGUGUUCUAAGCUACUACCAAGAAGUUUACUUCACCAAAACGCACCUACCAACUCCCCAUGGACAAAAGGUACUUUUCUAAAGCCGUUCUUUUCCGAUAGUAACCAGCACUUUCCACAGUGGUUGAGUGUUUUAGGAAAGCAUAGGCAGCUUCUUCAAAUGACUUUAGCCCAAUUAGUGGCAGUGCACAUGUAGCAGAAAGAGGAAAACCGGCAAACAUUAAAGAGUUCACACAUAUGGUUUGCAUCUUUCUUAUUCUAUUCAAUUAAAACUGGCAGCAAUUAGAAUCUCGAGAACCGUUUCACCUGUGAAUUCAGCCGUCCACACACUAUUUCAUCUCCUCCGCGAUAGUCAUCGAUAUUUUCAAUGAUUAACAAAAUGUAACGCAUAGUUUAAUACACAAAACCUAUGAUUGGUCAAAAAAGAUUCAAUUCUUAAUUUUGGACUUUAAGGAAUGCCAUUUGUAUACAUUCAGUGGGAUAAAUGGGAAUAUGAUUAAACGGCGCGAGGUGUGUGAGCAGAUGUCUUGAUAUGGUUUUACUUCAGCUCAUCACGACUUCUAAAAUUCUACAUUCAAACGUGGAAGUGUGCGAGAAGAACAAAGCUUUAAAUUUUUCAACGUAUCAUGCAGUGAGUGAUAGACAUUCAAAUGGUCAUUUAGUGAAUAAAACAUUCUUUUGCAGAAAAAGCUCAGAAGGAAUUACAAGAACCAUUGUAUGGUCCCAAAAGCAGAGAAUCUUAUGAAAGAGAGAGGAAGAAAAUGCUUUUCUGGGUUCAAGUCAAUAGCAUUGCUGUGAGAAAGAAAGUCCAUGGAAGACUGUAUUGAAUGGAUAUCGACUAGAAUGGGAAAAUCAUUGAACAAGUGUCCAGCAGAGGAUGUGAACCAAAGAGAGAGCCGAGAUGAGAGCUGCAGGGACAUGUUUUGGUCAGUAUUUGUCUUUUUAGGGACAUUUUGAUCUCCUUGGAGGUUGAUUAUACCUAUAAGACCAUCACAGUGGUUUAAUGUUUAUAUGGAUGUCUCCAUAUGUUUAUCUUUUUGCAACAUCUGCCUGUUUCCCAGACUAAUCUAUCAAGUGCAACACCCACUUGCGGUGUUAUGUUGAUUAAACCGAUCAAGAAUACCAUUAAAGGCGGUACCCUGCAGCGCGUACGCUAUAUGACCUUUAACUAUCUAGUGUAUCUAUUUGUUGAAUUUUUUCUUCUCCACACAUAUAGUACAGCCACCAGGGCACCGUCAGGCUUUGCUAUGUGUACCUUGAAGAACGAGAUGCCUCCUCAAAUGACUGGAAUCCAGUUGGUAUUCUCGACUGCCCUCUAUGUGCGAUUGUAUAUUACCAAGGAUCGGUCUGAUGACGCUCCGUAUGAUUGAAAUAACACGGCAUCUCUUUGUAGUUCCAGCCCCAUGUUUAAAAGACAAAAGGAAAGAGAGAUAACAGAGACUGCUUCGUCUGCUAUAAUGGACUCUCGCUCAACAGAAUGCCAUAUGGAUCCUGCAAAGCACCCAUCAAAUGCACACUACAAGAACCCGAGAAGUCCAGAUUAAAAGCCUGUGAUGCUGCCUGAAAAGGAGAAAACCAAAGAUUGUGAACUGACUGUUUAAGUGCAGUAUACAUGUACUGUAUUUAUUACUGUAUACUGGGUAAAGUCCCUCGUGUCCCUGUUGCUCACACGCGACUUUGGGGUCCCAGAAGUUGGUGUAGGAAAUGUUUGACAGUGCGGCUAGUUAACAAUGAUUGAUGCCCGUAGCCCUCUCAGCUGUUAAGGAGAGAUGAGGGGAAGCAAGUGAUGCAAGGCGGAUUGGAAGCUGCCUGCUGGCAUCUGACUUUAGGAAUGGUGAUUAAAAACACAUUAUGACAAAGGCAACAUCUGGCGGUGCAUUCAGAUCCUCAGAACAGUAGUGCACUGCUACGUUACCUUGGCAUCACAUGCACAGUGGAUGAAAGGUGUGCUCCAAACAAUGAAAAACAAACAAAGAAGUUUUGAAUUAAAGUCCCAUUUUGUCUGCUCGGUGGUGCUUUCGGCAAACUGAAAACAAUCCCCAAAUAGGCUAAUUAGUUUCAUUAUUGUGUUAUUUGGAUUCAUUAACUUAAGUUUAACUCAACAUUUGUACUUUAUGUAGUUAAUAAUAUCAGUCAGUCAAUUACUCUCUGGCUGGUAAAUUAUUUUAACAACUUGACAUAAGGGGAUUUUUCCUCCAAUUAAUGUUCAUGGAAUACAGCGUAAUCUUUGCUGUGGUUUAUUUGGUUCCCCAGGCCAAGAUCGUUACAUGUAACCUAUCAGCACCAUGGAAAAAAAAUGUAAUUAAAAGCAAAAUAUAGUCUGACUAAUGGGAACAAUUUACUUUGAUGACACGCCACAAAAGACAGCAUCUGUUCUGGCGCUGAUACCCGAGGGCUGUGAGCUCAGCGCGCCAUCCUGACAAAGCAUGCGUGAACGAUUGUCAGCAGGAGUUUCUACUCGGGAUCAGAUGACAUUUUGUGAAAGUCAGCCGUCACCUCAUGAAAUCGCUGAAGACAAUCUAGUCAACAUCAUUAGAUGGACGUGUUCACUCUGAUCUGAACACGUCCUGACCUGAAAAAUUAGACUACAGACGCAAUGCUGUUGAUUCUGCGUUGUGUUUUCUGUGAAUGAUCUUGAAGCUGGGGGAUAGUUGUUUUUUUUAUGCAAAACACUGCUGGUUCGAAUGGGAUUUACAACCUUUGACAUGAAGUCAAUUACUUACCAUAACAACAAAGGGCCAUGAAAGAGAGAAACAUAGAGGCCGGUGUCGUAGACGACUGUUGCAAUGCAGCAAAUAUAAUUUUGUUGCGUAUGCAAGUUGGACACAUUGAAAGGUUCACUGCAGUAGAAUUAAAAGCCUUGACACGGUUACACCGUUUGUGAAGAAGGUUUGUUUCUGAAUUGUACUCGUGAAUGUUGAAAAGGUGUGCGGUGAGGAAAGCGCCUCAUCCUUCUCUCGUGCUACGUCUUUAGCUUUAACUCCCCACCCGCAGUGGUAGUUGGGCCAACGUCAAGCGUGGACUGACACGCCGCCCAUGACGUGUCCACAUCUGCAGGUUUAAGUGGGGAGCCACAGCAUGGAGCGUAGUUUGAAUUACUGUAUUUGAGGCAUUUGGGUGAGAAUGUGUUGUCCCUUGUUUCACUAAAAAGGCCGUUUGAAGGAAAGAAACUGAAUGGAAAGCCAACCUAAUGAUGUGCUCCUCUUGUUCGCUGACAAUCUGUUAUAGAAUUUUGCGAUAUACACUGACAGCUUUGUCAGUGCUACUCAAGCAAGAGGAGGUAUUAAGGAGCAACGUGUUGUGACUCAUCAGUGGGCGACUGUCUCACUCUGCUGCGAUGAAUUAAAUCGGGUUCAUUGAAACGGUGUCCUUCUUUCCCACUUAGGCCUUUGUUAUAAAGUUGUAAAUCCACAAGACGGUUCGGGUAAUCAAACAUGUUAGUCGAACUAUGAUGCGAGGUUCAGAUAAGGUUUAUUUUUAUAUGCGGACAGGAAAGAGGAAUUGUAAACUACAUGCUCAAUAGUGUGUUCAAAGUCAAUUUAUAGUUCAUAUUGUACUCUGAUAUCUCCUCACGAUCUCGUGUGUGAAAUAGGUCUAUUGUGUGUAAGUUGAUGCGCGCGUCACAAUUCUCAUUGAGCGCCUCAAAUCAGAUGCCACUUCAUCGAUAGGAUAUUUCACUGCCUAAAGGGGAAAAAAGGAAAGGAUUGAAGUGAGUAUGAAACUGACCAGAAUAUGUCGGCCAAUUGGAGCUUGAGAUUGGAGCAAUCGGAUGCAGAUGUUGUCAUCUGGUUGAAAAAAAUAGCUGUAAAUGAAAUAUGAUUUUUAAAUGUUCUGAUGUAUGAGAAUGAAUGGAAACAGAUACUCAUCCCGUCUCAACCAUUUUUUGUGAGAAACUAAUGGUUGUGUGAUUUGCUCAAAGACCCUUUUACCCGCGGACAGAAGGAGCCGGGGCGGGUUAUAAUAUAUAACCGCUAACUUUGUCGUGAAAGGACGACUCUGCUCAAUGAGACACAACCAUCAAGCCAUUGUUUGGCGUAUUGAAGUAUUGAUAUUCAAUGAUCCCUUCUUUCAAAAUGUCAGAUUCUACUGUAGAAUGAUGACACUUUUAAUGUCAUGAUUAUGCCAUUACAGCUCUUUAUUAAGGUAAUUGAUUACUUCUGCUCUAAAAAAAUAAGUAGUUCUGUGACGUUGGCCUGUUCCUUGGACAAAUGAGCACUUGACGAUUUCCCUUUUUGGUCCCUGGAAAACAGACUUUUCUCCAUGCUCCGACCUUUUAUUGACCUUGUAAUUAUUCAUUCAUCCAAAACAAUUAUGCCAUGAAUUUUAUGAGAGCGCUGCUGCAGCUGUUGGAAAUUAGGCUCAAAAAGUAAUAUAAGAAAUUGCCCGGUUGGUCUCGCCGAGUGGCGAAGUUUAAUUCGUCAUGGUCUUAUUGAAAGUGUUCGCACACACGGAUACAACCGCACACGGUCACAGCCGUACAAACAUAAUGAUAUGGAUUUGCAGCCUGCACACACGCACACACACACACACACACACACCUCUGGGACCCGGCCUGGGUCUCUAUUGUAAAUGAUGCAGUUCGCCUGUGUGAGCUGUGGUUGAGUUAGUAGCUAAUUAGUUUGGCACGCCAGCCUUCUUCCCAGGACCUGUGUGUGUCUGUCUGUGUGUCUGUCUGUGUCUGUGUCUGUGUGUGUGUGUGUGUGUGUGUGUCUGUGUGUGUGUGUGUGUGUGUGUGUGUGCUGGAGGUGCAGUGGGGGGUUUAAUCCUCUUUACUUGUUGUUCUACACCACUGCCACCCCCCCGAUUCUUUCUGUUUUCUUUGCCCCUUUCUCCACUUCUUUUGGCUUUGUCUUUCACCAUGUUUGCGUUUUGUCCCCUCUCUGCCUGUUCCUCCCCUUUUGUCCCUUUUUUUUAAUCUUCCCCCUCUAUUACUUUCUCUCCCUUUCCAUGCCCUGCACCCCCCCCCCCCAUUUUAUUUGCUUCUCCCUCUGACCCUUGUUAUUUCCCCUCUCCAUCCAUCUCCUGUAUUUAAUGAAAGUCCCUGUUAUUGGACUAAUCCAGUGGUGGAGUGUUCUCAGUGUCUCCCUCGCUUCAUUCCUCCGUAUCUCACCGCUCAUCCUGCAUCUUUAGAUUUCCCUCUCACCCUCCACUAAUGGAAGUCCCCCCCCCUUCCCCUCCGCUAUCUUUGUAAUCCAGUGUCUCCUUGCCUCCACCUUUCUGUUGCUCUUUCUUUUCCUCUUCCCCUCUGUAGACUAAUGAAAGUCUGUGGUGUUGGUCUAAUCCCCUGGCUGUGUGCUCACAGCCCCUUUGUUGGUCAAAUCUGACUAAUGCCCUCCGUCUCAGUCCGCAGCACAGCAGCCUCUUACCUCAUUCCUCACACACACAAACCCUAUGGGGAAUAUUAUGAUUUUUGUAGAAAGUGUAUGUGUCUUUCUCUUGUUUGAUAAAGACUCGACACGGCGUCCAAUUGGAGAAACACGCAACACCAUGUCGGUUUUCUACUUUCACACUCAAGCAAUUCAUAUCGAGAGUUGAAGCAACACAGUGGAGUGCUGUUUAAUUUACUUUAUUCUCAUUUUUUAAUCUCCACUGUGAUUAAAGACGUUCAGCAUCCUACAUCUCCACUGAGUAGUGGUCCAUGCUAUGUGCAUAAAUAAUGAAAAUGAAUAAAUUAAUGCAUUUGAAUAAUGCCUGUAUUUUUCAUGUUCUUCUUUAAGGGGAAAUUACUGUAUUUUCUUGAUGAAUUUGGACUCUCAAACAGUGGACUUUUCUGAUAUAAUGUCUGUGAAUGUGUGGUCUGUGCUACAAAACUAUAAAUCCAACAGUACGUCUUUGCGUCCAUGAACUGCCUGCAGCAGCAUCGUAGUAGCGACAGCAGGCCGACCCUGAUACCCCCCCCCCCCUCCUCCCAGGAUCAUUUCCAACAUCGCCUUCAUCACUCAUGGCCAUAACUUCAUUCGGGCGGUAAGCAGAUUGACCCUCCGAUGACUGCUCUUAUUAAAGGGCAGACGGUGACCUCAUCUCACCCCCGUCAUCCUUUUGCCAUGUUAAUGGUUUGUAUUGACGGACUGAUACUCUGACACACGUGUACUUGUUUUAGUCAAUGUCCCACACAAAAAUGUGCGCAUGAUAAAUACAGUACGCGCUGCAUUGUGUUCCAUAUCGAUUGAUCUUAGUGCGCCGGCAGCGUGGCAUCAUUGACUGUGGCCGUGUGUCUCAUGCACAGGAAAUGGUACAUGGGAGCGUGCGUCUACUUCUAGUGCGUGCGGGUGUGCGCAUGCCCUCGUGUGCGUGUGUCAAAGAGUUCGCUCUUACACAAUCCUGACAGUGUUUGUAAUAUUUUGGGCUCAUUGAAUCGCCUGUUUAUGGAGUGUGCAAUAAAUCAUGACUAAACAUAACCAAACACAAGUGUGUGUUUAUCAGCGAGGGAACGCCGUUUCAGGCCUUGCACAUUUUUGGCUGUGAGUGCGACACCGAGGUUAAAUUGCUUCAGUCGUGGUGAAACUACGUUGAAAUUGAGCUCUAAAGCACAUUUGAGGCUUUGCCGUAUAAAAUGUAUGUAUGAAGUUCUGUUUCAGGGAAGCCAUGCGAUUGGAUUUGCAGAAGGGCGGCCAGACCAACAGUGUGGGAGCCGCUAGGUUCACACGUCUCCAAAUCACUGGGUACAGAAACCCAGCUACUGGUAUGAACAAAUUAAGACUGGUCACUGGUCAGUACCAGGUGACAAGAACAAAAAGUGAGCCAUUAGCUGUAAAACAUUUUCUCACAGGCUAAAUUCAGCAUAAUGCUUAAAUCCACCAGUACAACAAUAGUCAUAUUGUACUCAUCUAUUUUUGAAGAAAAGUAUUUCUUUAAACAAAUUUUAUGCAUAUUUCAUUUCAAUUCCUUCUACCUUUCAGUUUUAUUAAAGAUUCUGCAAGUGCCACCCGACACAUUGUGUGGAUGUUUCACAAUAACAUCUUAAACUAAAGGAGGGAAUUUGCAUCUUGACUCACUUGAAAGGUUCUCAUGUCAAGCAUCUGUGUUUAUUUAUCUAACAGCGAUAAAGCAAUUUUAGUAGAUUGGAAUCAAGUGAAUCCGACUGCUAGUUGCAUUUGUAUUCCUGAAUUUGUCAAGAUAACGGGUAAAUAUCUAACAUGUUUUUAUUAACUGUAAAAUGCUACCAGGCGCAAAUUGUAGCAGAAUAGAACAGGAGGGUACACAAAAGUAUGAAUAAAGGUCUACUAAAUGUAAAGAUGUCAAUCAGAAUUAAGAUUCGGGAAGUAGAAUGUGCACACAGACAAUUUAACAAUGUUAAAUAAAAAGAGAUUUGUAUAGAGAUAAAGGAUUUAGAAUUACAGGACAAAAGUAAGCAGAGACACAGUGGUCAAACAUAAACAACAUCCACAUGCUAUAGAAGCUAUUCUCCAUCCUUCAUUUUUAAGAAAUUCAAAGGUGACAAAACUAUUAUUUUUCCUGUGACAUUGGUGCUGACACAUCCACUUUAUAUCAGAGGAAUUCCUGUUUUUGAAGUCCCGACACGUACUGUAGAUGUUGUAAUAUUUCCCCAGGCGCCAACAGUCCUCGCACCACCCAAGACAAAUGGCUGACAGUUGAGGUUUUUUUGUUAUCGUUCUUCAAAAUUAGACAUCAUUUGAAAACACCUACUCAGUUCUAAAAGCACAUACGUAAAAUAAAUUACACACGGCAUAUUUUAAAGAACAGCUGCAAUUGUAGUCUCUUGUCAACAUCAAUAAUGUUUACAGCCUUGUCCUAGAUCCACUUGCUAUGCUAAAUGAUCCACUUCAGUUAAUUGUUUUCUUUCCAAGAAUGAAUAUGAAACAUCCAGAGAUUAAGCUCCGAGCCAAACACCGCCUCGACUUUUUUAAGCGCUAUUCAUUUGAACUAGAAUUUCACAUCAAAUCAUGUUUCAAACUUUUCAAUCCUCUGAUUCUACUUUGUGCUUCCAGUGAAUGUAGAAGACCGUAUUUCAAACCAGAUCCCCUCAUGUGGGAAGUUAAAUAUGUACAAGUCAGCCAGAGGUGAAAUCCUUCCCUGCCAGGGGAGAUCUCCAGCUUACAGGGUCUCAGGCAAGACUCCUCUGAUUCAUGAUGGGUGUGUAGAGGGAGCGAGCAAAUGUCUACGUGUGUGUGUGUGUGUGUGUGAUCAACAGAAAUAUAUGGCUAUAAAUGGUUUCAUCCUUUGAGGCAUCGACGGGUCUUCCUGUUUCUCCCAAUAUUUGGAGGAACUAGUUAACCGUAAUAAAAAAUAAUGCCAAUGGUAACAACAGAAACUCAAAAACUCCACCUCGCUAGAGUUGACGUCAACUGGUUAGUCAGAAAGUGAAAGGCGGCGGGGGUAAGGUAAAGAGGGGUGGAACUCAUGAGGUGGAUCCCGUGAGACAGGCCAGGUCAGCUGGGACUCAACAUGGGGGCGGCGAGAGACCCAAGCCCCCCGGCGUGGAGAGCACAAGCACCCGGGACUAUAAGAUGCGGCGGGUGAGAGGUGUCUGGUUCCACAGAAGCUCCUUUCAUCCCAUCUUGCAGGUAAAAACCCCCCACUGUGGAGCGAAGCAGAGAGAAUAACUUGAGAGAAGGAUCGCUAAUCCACCCCGACGGCCUGCAGGCUCUGGGAUUUGGGACUAUCGCUUACCGUGAAGUAGGAGCAGGAGCAGGUCGAGUUAGGGCGCAAGCAUCCCUCGUAAAUGGUAAAUGGACUGUACUUGUAUAGCGCUUUUCUAGUCUUCUGACCACUCAAAGCGCUUUAACACUACAUGACAUCAUUCACCCAUUCACACCCAUUCACACGCUGAUGACACGAGAACCACACACAGUGACACCUGCCCAUCAGUAACUAACAUUCAUACGCUGUAGUCGCAGCUACAGGAGCAAUGUUGGGUUAAGUGUCUUGCCCAAGGACACAUCGACAUGCGGGUUAGCCAAGCCUGGGAUCGAACCGACAACCCUCUGAUUGGAGGACGACCGUGCUCCCCACUCACCCACAGACGCCCACAGGAAAGCAUCGUGUCUUUCCUGUCAGUCAGCCCAGCGACGCUAUUACGAUACGGCAAAUAUUGUGCCCCCGCGGCGCUCUCCCUUUUUCUGUCUGGGUUUCAAUCCAAGCAGGUUUAUCCUCUCCUCGACCGACUUCGGCUUGCUCGCCCUCUUUGUACGCACGCCGCCUCCCAAUCUCUUCCUCCCCAUCGUUCUCCACCAGCUUCGUUAAUGCUCCUCUAUCUUGAAGCCUCACAGGGAGCUAAUUUAGCUGUGAACUUUGUUCCGGCUGUCAAUUCACAAAAGGGACGUUGCAAAGAGUUAAGCAGAUAUGGCAGUCAGAGACCCAUAGGGGGAGCGUUCAUGAGAGAUUAGUGGCGUAUGCUCAAAUAUUAGUAUUAUUUUUUUGUUGUUGUUUUUUUCAUAUAAUGAAAUGAUUUAUUCAUUUUCAUUUCCAGUAACGUCUGUUCUAGAUCACAUGCAAGAAUGGUCCGCAGCUCCAAUUAAGGCAACGGAGCCAUUAAAGCAAUUUUGAACCAGACCAGUGGACCUUAAAACACAGAGCAGCUCAACACAGCAACAUCUGUGAUUACUAACAAAGCUCAGAAUGCUCUGUUAGAUAUUCAGGCUUUUUUAAUGCUUAAAGGAAAUAUGUGAAAUGAAAUGUUAAACAUUGUUAGAAGUAGGUAGAAGCUCAAUGAGAAAUGUUGUUGUCAAAGCUUUACGCCAUCUGCUUACUAUCGUCCGUACAAUCGGCCGAAACCUCGAGCUAUUCUUUUGAAGCAGCUGUGUGGUGUCGUAGAAUGCAGUAAACAAUAAAACAAAUUCUCAUUGAUGGUAAAAACGUGUAUAUGUUUGCCGACAUUGUGGUUUCUUCCUGUGGUGCCCAGGAAGGAAGUCUAAAUUAGUCAUUGUUCGUGGUGCAGCCGAUCAUGUCAUUACACAGUUUAAUGUUAACUACCCCAGUGUAAAGUUAGGUUUUACUGACAUCCUUAUCUGCUGAUCUUUAUCGUUUACACUAUUUUAGUCUUUGAUCUCCGAUAAUGUUACACAAUGGUCACUGAUAGUUUGUUUUAGGUGAAAGUUAAUAAAAAAUCAUAUAACUAAUUACAACAUUUGUUGUUUUAAUAAAUAGAAAUAUGUUUGAUUUUUUUUUUUACAUCAUCUGAACAUGUUUUUAUGAGAACCCUCCAACUAUUACUAUGACUUCAUAGACCAGUUGUUGUAACCAAAGGAGAAAAAAGGAUCUCUAUCCACGCAAAUGGAUCAUCAAUGACAAUUAGUACCAGCAGCAAAACAACUUUUUGCUGCUAGUUUUUCUUUUUUCCUUCUGAUCCAAACAUGUGAUCUGAUCCAUGACUAUGAUUGUGAGUCUUAUGAUCACAAUCAUCUGUUGGCCAUACCCAUGACUAUGUGGUUGUUACCCUGCUGGGACAGGGUCCAAUUCCUGCAUGGAAACUACUGAUGAUAAGGCAUCCGGUGGAUCGGGCUUCUGGGAAGGUCCACCUGGAUUUAAGGAGGGAUUAUUGGGAUUGAGCAUAUAUUAGUUCUGAAUAUAAAUCCCAGUUUGGCUAUCUUGCUACUGCUUCUGGGUAGUGUCUUGAUGCUGGCAGUGGGGCUGAGUAGUUGGAUGUUGUCAUCGUUAUUAGAAGCUGAAAGGCAGAAAGUUACCGAACCAGCCGGUUGGGUUAAUAAGGAGCAUGCUGAUUAGUGAUUGGCUGCUACACAGGCGGACGCAAGUCGAUGCCUCAUGAAUCCUAAAGCGAGGGUGGAAGGAAGGAGCAAAACGAUUCCCUGGGAGGAAAAAAAAA